rnacentral:tRNA from 1 species
UUAAUUGAAGCCAAAAUAGAGGCACUUUAUUGUUAAUAAAGAAAAUGAUUAAAAAUUUAAUCCUUUUAAA